GGGGAGAUGACGACACGCCGCCGCUUCCUGUCGCCGCCGCCGCCGCCGCCGCUCGCGGGCCUGGGCCAGACCUUUGGACACUUCCCCCCUGGAGCAUUCGCUCGUCACUGCCCCCAUCGGUGGGCAGCGUCUGCCCCUGCCCCGAGGAUGACUAAGGCACCAUGGGCCACACGCUGUGUAUCUGCUCCCGAGGGACCCUCACUAUCGACAACAAGAGAUAUCUCUUCAUACAGAAACUGGGAGAGGGUGGGUUCAGCUACGUGGACCUGGUGGAGGGACUGCAGGAUGGGCACUUUUAUGCCCUGAAGAGAAUCCUGUGCCAUGAGCAGCAAGACCAGGAAGAGGCCCAGCGAGAGGCUGACAUGCACCGACUCUUCCAGCAUCCCAAUAUCCUUCGCCUUGAAGCCUAUUGCUUGACAGAACGGGGCUCCAAGCAGGAGGCCUGGCUACUGCUGCCCUUCUUCAAGAAGGGUACACUGUGGAAUGAAGUGGAAGGGCUGAAAGACAAAGGCAAUUUCCUGUCUGAGGACCAAAUCCUGCUGCUGCUGUUAGGCAUUUGCAGAGGCCUAGAGGCCAUUCAUGCCAAGGGUUAUGCUCACAGGGACCUGAAACCAACCAAUAUUUUACUUGGAGAUGAUGGGCGGCCAGUGUUAAUGGACUUGGGUUCCAUGAAUCAGGCACGAAUCCAAGUGGAAGGCUCCCGACAGGCACUAGCCCUGCAGGACUGGGCAGCCCAACGCUGUACCAUCUCAUAUCGUGCCCCUGAGCUCUUCUCUGUACAGAGCCACUGUGUCAUUGAUGAACGAACUGACAUUUGGGUGAGCCUACAGGGAGUUGGAGGCUUCUGUCUGCUUUGGAAUGAUUUCUUAAGGGAAAAAUGGGAGACAUUUGCCUUACUUUCUACAGUUUGGGGCCCCAGGAAACCUGUCAUGCUGUUCUUUUUCCUCCACUUCCUUCCUGUAAGCUGGUGGCAGUGCAGAGGAAGUGGUAUAGCCACGGUCUCUGAGCAGGAGCAUGUAGGCCUGGAGCUGUUCAGCCCAAAGCUCCAUCUGUCCUCCAGAGCCAAAAGGGCAGCAGAACUGAGUUAGAUCCCUGCUGCCAUGGUGAGUAGACUAGCAGCCCUUCUCUCCCCUUCCCACAUUGGCUUAGGCAGCUUCCUUUGCUGACAUCAAGGAGCAGGGGAAUGGAGCACUUAACAAUGUCUGGCCUAGUACCUGGUAGAUGAUUCAUAAAUGGUUGCUGAUCAAUACAGGCCCCUGGGUCCCAUUUCCUACAAAUCAUAGAUGUGUAUUCAGUCCCUAGGUUGUGUGCUGUAUGCUAUGAUGUUUGGGGAAGGCCCUUAUGACAUGGUGUUCCAGAAAGGGGACAGUGUGGCCUUGGCAGUACAGAACCAGCUCACCAUUCCCCAGAACCCAAGGCAUUCCCCAGCAUUACGGCAGCUAUUGGCCUCCAUGAUGACUGUGGACCCCCAGUGCCGGCCACAUACUUCCCUCCUCCUCAAUCAGUUGGAAAGUUUGCAGCCUACAGCUCCCGGCCAACAUACCACACACAUCUGAGCAUGCAGGUUGGAACAUAGAAUUUUCUAUAAGAGGAAAGUAUUUUGUCCUCAAUGGGACUUUGAGGAUAGCAGACUGUCAUCCACAAACUCAAGAAUACAUAGAUGCUUCUGAGUUCCUACCCAUGAAGGACAAAGAGUGGGUCCUUGAGAAGGGACCUGGCUGACCCAGAAAGGGAGAAAUGGUCUCAUACGAUACAAUUGGGCCUGCUGGGUCCACAUCAUGGUCUGCCCCUGAAUGUGGGGGGUAGGGAACAGCAUUUUCAGAAUAUGUAAAUACAGAAGUAAAGCUAAAAGAUGUCUGUU